UCAGGACGAACGCUGGCGGCGUGCUUAACACAUGCAAGUCGAACGAUGAUGCCCAGCUUGCUGGGUGGAUUAGUGGCGAACGGGUGAGUAACACGUGAGUAACCUGCCCCUGACUCUGGGAUAAGCGUUGGAAACGACGUCUAAUACUGGAUAUGAUCACUGGCCGCAUGGUCUGGUGGUGGAAAGAUUUUUUGGUUGGGGAUGGACUCGCGGCCUAUCAGCUUGUUGGUGAGGUAAUGGCUCACCAAGGCGACGACGGGUAGCCGGCCUGAGAGGGUGACCGGCCACACUGGGACUGAGACACGGCCCAGACUCCUACGGGAGGCAGCAGUGGGGAAUAUUGCACAAUGGGCGAAAGCCUGAUGCAGCAACGCCGCGUGAGGGAUGACGGCCUUCGGGUUGUAAACCUCUUUUAGUAGGGAAGAAGCGAAAGUGACGGUACCUGCAGAAAAAGCACCGGCUAACUACGUGCCAGCAGCCGCGGUAAUACGUAGGGUGCAAGCGUUGUCCGGAAUUAUUGGGCGUAAAGAGCUCGUAGGCGGUUUGUCGCGUCUGCUGUGAAAUCCCGAGGCUCAACCUCGGGCUUGCAGUGGGUACGGGCAGACUAGAGUGCGGUAGGGGAGAUUGGAAUUCCUGGUGUAGCGGUGGAAUGCGCAGAUAUCAGGAGGAACACCGAUGGCGAAGGCAGAUCUCUGGGCCGUAACUGACGCUGAGGAGCGAAAGCAUGGGGAGCGAACAGGAUUAGAUACCCUGGUAGUCCAUGCCGUAAACGUUGGGCGCUAGAUGUAGGGACCUUUCCACGGUUUCUGUGUCGUAGCUAACGCAUUAAGCGCCCCGCCUGGGGAGUACGGCCGCAAGGCUAAAACUCAAAGGAAUUGACGGGGGCCCGCACAAGCGGCGGAGCAUGCGGAUUAAUUCGAUGCAACGCGAAGAACCUUACCAAGGCUUGACAUACACCGGAAACGGCCAGAGAUGGUCGCCCCCUUGUGGUCGGUGUACAGGUGGUGCAUGGUUGUCGUCAGCUCGUGUCGUGAGAUGUUGGGUUAAGUCCCGCAACGAGCGCAACCCUCGUUCUAUGUUGCCAGCGGGUUAUGCCGGGGACUCAUAGGAGACUGCCGGGGUCAACUCGGAGGAAGGUGGGGAUGACGUCAAAUCAUCAUGCCCCUUAUGUCUUGGGCUUCACGCAUGCUACAAUGGCCGGUACAAAGGGCUGCGAUACCGUAAGGUGGAGCGAAUCCCAAAAAGCCGGUCUCAGUUCGGAUUGAGGUCUGCAACUCGACCUCAUGAAGUCGGAGUCGCUAGUAAUCGCAGAUCAGCAACGCUGCGGUGAAUACGUUCCCGGGCCUUGUACACACCGCCCGUCAAGUCAUGAAAGUCGGUAACACCCGAAGCCGGUGGCCUAACCCUUGUGGAAGGAGCCGUCGAAGGUGGGAUCG
rnacentral:rRNA from 1 species